rnacentral:rRNA from 1 species
AUUGAACGCUGGCGGCAGGCCUACCACAUGCAAGUCGAGCGGAGCGGCGGACGGGUGAGUAAUGUCGGGGAAACUGCCUGAUGGAGGGGGAUAACUACGGGAAACGGUAGCUAAUACCGCAUACUAUCAGAUGAGCCUAGGUCGGAUUAGCUAGUUGGGGGGGUAAAGGCCUACCAAGGCGACGAUCCGUACCUGGUCUGAAAGGAUGAUCAGUCACACUGGAACGGAGACACGGCCCAGACUCCUACGGGAGGCAGCAGUGGGGAAUAUUGGACAAUGGGCGAAAGCAUGACCCAGCAAUGCCGCGUGUGUGAAGAAGGUCUUCGGAUUGUAAAGCACUUUAAGUUGGGAGGCGUUACCAACAGAAUAAGCACCGGCUAACUUCGUGCCAGCAGCCGCGGUAAUAC